AGCAGCAUAACAUAUGAAACCCAAAAAAGGAGCAGUCAACCAACUGUAGCAACCCAGCAAGCAAACUAGGCGUCAGCCCAGGGCAGCAAUAGCCCAUGCCCAUAUACCACAAACUGUCGAGAAACAGCAGCAACACUGCCCAGGGACCAUUUUAGCAGACAUCACACAACUAGCCAGAACCCUAAAACAAAUUUGUUGUAAGCCCAACCAAAAGCAUUCCAUAUCAAAUAACUAUUUUCAAUCUGCAACUUUCAUCCCACACUCCAAACUACAACAGAAAAUGAAAACCACCAGCUGCAGCAGCAGCCCAUCGACCAACAGCCCAUGCCCAUGCUGCAGAGAACUAUAACAUUCCUUUCAGUACAUUCACAACCACUGAAAAAUAACAAAACAGACAUAACAGACCCAACAAAAAUAUGUCCUAGGUUCAAACAUUGUUUAAAGAAAGAUGUCUAAAACCAUAUCUUGCUUUAACUUUUUGGAAUUUUGCAUUUGUAUGAAGCUUACAUUUAAGCAUGUGUAAGAUGUCAGAGACAAGGUUCCGAGCAGAGCAAAAUUUUUGACUAAAUAUCAUCGCAUUCCAUUCAUUCCGAAUACGGUAAACAACCGCAGCGAACCCAAGAUGAAGCAGACUGUGAUGAAAAUUUGGACUAGAAUAAUGGAUGAGGUAGCCCGUUAUAGAACUCUAGCUCCUACUAAAAUCCCUCCACCCACAAUGUCUAAGAAUAGAUAGAAGGACCCUAAAAGAGUAAUCUCAUUGAAAGAAUAGGUGUUCAAAAGUUUCUGAUUGAGAUGAACAAAGAACACAAGAAGAGUUAACAAGCAUCCCAAAACUGAUCAACCUGUCCAUUGUACGCAACCCACGGUGAAAAGCCAACUAGAGGGUAAAACAAAAUCUUGGGAUCAAAACCUUAUGCCACACUAACUUGUCCCAAAGGACAAGUUAGUCAUAGAGGCUUUAACCUCAUUAGACUUCGCAGUGUCCCAGAAAAUCUCAUCAGGCCGAGAUGAGUCAUAGAGCCUAUUAUGAUCAAAAGAAUCCCGAAAGACAGUAAAAUCAUAAUGGUUGGAUAAAGGGAGGUACCAAGAUCUAAUAAUACCACUCACAGUAGCAUUUAGGCCCAAACUAGAAUUGAUGAUCAGAGAAGAAUGGGAACUAGACGCCAGGGGGAUCACAUUAAGUCAAGGAUCAAACCACAAGCUAGUAUUAUCCCCAUUUCCAAUAUGAAUAAAUAUACUUAAUAGCAAGAGAUCUCAACUGCAGUACCUUUCUCCAUAUCCAUGAACAGUCAUUUGGAAUCUUCAAUGCCCAAAAGUGGUUUGAUUUUAAAUGAUUAUCUCUUACCCAUAAAGCCCAAAGAGACUGGGGGUUAGGAUUUACCACUCUCCAUAGUUGCAGCAAAAUCAGAGCUUUAUUCCAAUCCUCCAAUUGCUUGAUAGCUAAACCACCUUCGGAAUACGGUAAAGUAAUUUUGCUCCAUGCAACUUUGGCCCCAAACUUCAACAUAGAGAGACCUUUACAUAAAAAUCUGCUAAUAGUGGACUUAAGAUCUUUAAGCACAACCGCUGGAAGAAUGAAUGAGCAGACCAAUACGAUUGGAUAACAAAGACAACCGAUUUAAUAAGUUACAAUCGUCCAGCAUAAGAGAGAAACUUAUUAGUCCAUGAAGUAAUUUUGGUUUUAACCUUUUCUAAGAGAGGAUGGCAAUCAGCAAGGCUAAGCUUCGAGGUGAUCAAAGGGACCCCCAUGAAUUUUGCAGGGAACCGUCCCACUUGAAAUCCCAGAAUAUUGAAAAUGACCUUAGCAGGAGCAGAAGAUACACUGGAGAGAAAACAAAUACUCUUUGAAUCAUUUAUGUGUAAACCCGAGAAGGACGUGAAAAGAUCUAAACAAUGUUUGAAAACCUUGAACCGAGUUCACAUCACCAUGACAGAAGAUAAGCAAAUCAUCAGCAAAACAUAGGUGGGAUAAAGAAAGAGACUUUGUUUUCCAAUGAUGCUUGAAAAAAGGUGACCUUGUUUCCUUUGAUAGAAUAAGAGAAAGGACUUCCAUAGCAAUAACAAAAAGAUAUGGAGAAAGAGGGUCCCCUUGACGUAAACCCUUGGUCCCUUUAAAAUACCCACAAAGGGCACCAUUCACUCUAACUAAGUAUGAAGAGUAAAUGAACUUGGGGGGAAAUUUGAAAAGUUGCAUAGCAGCAAGCAUGAAAUCCUAGGAGACCGAAUCAAAAGCCUUACGGAGAUCAAUUUUCAUUGCACACCUAGAUUGGCCAGAGGGCCUAUGGUAGUUCCUGAAUAACUCUUGAGCCAGCAGGAUAUUAUCACCUAUCCUCUUGCCCGGAACAAAAGAAGACUGACUAGGAGAGAUUAUGGUAGGGAGGAUACCCUUGAGCCUGACAGCAAUAAUCUUCAAAAUGCACUUGUAAGUUGUGUUACAACAAGAAAUAGGUCGAUAAUCAGUCAUAGAUAUACGAUUAAGCAUCUUAGGGACGAGCAAUGACAGUAGAGUUAGUACCCUAGAGAAGGCAACACUAUUUGAAAAAAGAUUGGAUGGCCAAAGUAAAAUCACUACUAACAAUGUCCCAAACAAGGAGGAAAAAAAUUCACAUUGAAACCAUCAGGACCAGGACUCUUGUUUUUCUUCAUAGACUUCAAAGUUGUCAAGAUUUCAUGUUCAUAGAUGUCUCUCUUAGUCAAAGAGCCUUGAAGAUCAUAAACAAAUUUAGGAGCAGCAUGGUCCAAUAAAUAGGACUCCCCCACCAUAGAAGGAGAACCAAGCAAGGAACGAAAGUGGCCAAGCGCAAUAUUUUGAAUAUCCUUAUGUCCGGUACAAAUAGUACCUGCCUCAUUUUCGAUAGCAAUAAUUUUGUUUUGAUUUCAUCUGUUCUUAAUUUAAUUUUAGAAAUAGCCUGAAUUGUUAUCCCCAUCCUUAAGCCAUUGGACUCUAGAUUUUUGCCUAAGUAACUUCUCUUCACAGCUAAGGGCAUACCUCAAAUUUUUAGAAUGAAGCCUUUGAGCCUUUAGUAGAGAAAGAUCAGUGGGAUAAGAGGAAAUAACAUUCUAAGUAUCAUGGAGGAUGGCUCUAGCCUUAUCCACAUUUGAUGUAAUAUUACCAUUAUCUUUGUUUAGAGUGGAAAGAGCCCGUUUGACUGACCUAAGCUUACUAGCUAAAACCUGAAGCGGAUCCCCAAGAAUAAAUAUAUUCCAAGCAAACUAAACAACCUCAUGAAAAUUUCCAAGCUCGCCCAGGAUGUUGAAAAAGUGGAAAGGUUUGGGAACUCUAGGCAAGGACAUACCAGUUUGUACCACCACCAGACAAUGAUCCGGAAGAUCAGGAGGAGUGAACAUAACCUGAGAAUCAUGGAACUGAUGCAACCAAUCACAGUUAACCAUAACCUUAUCAAGCUUUUUUAAUUGGGGUUUAGUGUCACUAGAAUUCCACCAAGUGUACAUUGGCCCAACCGCACGAAGAUCAGACAAGAGCAAGUCAGUAGUAUAGUCCAGGAAGUCCUGCAUACCCCCAUUCCAGGAUUCUACACCUCCCAAAAUUUUAGUAACAGACAGAACCUCGUUAAAAUCCCCUAGCAGACACCAAGGAAGAUUGAUAGAUUGACAUAAUGAACGAAGAUCAAUCCAAAGAGCUUUCCUCUCAGAAGGAGUAUUUAAACCAUAAACAAAAGUGACAAAGAACUGCUUGGUAGAAGCAACGAAAAAAACUAAGUAAUGCAUAUAUUGAGAAGAUUUAGAAAUAAUAUUUACAGUCCAAAGUGAAGGGUCCCAACCAACCCAGAUUCUCUCAUUCACAUGAUGCUCAUAAUUAAACUGCCAAUUCCAUUUACUACAUAUGGCUUUGGAAACAGUAUUGGCUUUUGGGCAUUUGACUAUAGUCUCAACUAGGCCAACAAAAGAAAUUUUAUGCUUACACAAAAGAGUAAGGACACUCUCCUGCUUGGACUUCAUAUAUACACUUCUAAUAUUCAUAGAGCAAAAAUUAACCAUAAAAAAAAGUUAGGGUUAGGGUGGGGCAGGCCUCCCCCCGCCUUUGAUAUUAUUCUUUGAAGACUGGCCAAGUUCCAAACCAGCUCGAGCUUUCGCCUUAAGAUCAUGGUCUGCCUUUUCAUCAAUCAUUUUUAGCUUUCCCACAAGGGGAUUUGAAGGGGAAUAGUCAGUGUCAGAAAAGCCCUCCAAAGCCUCCCCAGCAGCAACAAUAGGCAUGAAAACAUUGGAGUUACCAAUCAAAGAGGGAUCACUAUAUGAAACAUGCUUUUUUGGGCCUUUAGCCACCAGAGUCCAGUUUUCAGAGGAAUUAUCAGUAUCAGUAAAGGAUUUAGGGAUAUCAGAAGUAGAAAUAGAAGCUAUAGGGGCAGCAGCCUUAUAAUCUUCAGAAGCUUUUUGGACUUUAGGUAGCCAUUUGUAAUUUUCUUUAGGACAACGCAGAAGAGAGUGCCCAAAAGUUUUACAAUGAGAACAGAUUUGGGGUCUAUUUUGGUACUCCACUUUGACGUUAACAUUCUUUUCAGAAUUAGACUCCUCAUCAAGAACAACCACUUCUAGAGUGUUAGGCCAAGCCGAAGAAUGUGUUAAUUCAACACAAAUCCUAGCAAAAUUCAUAGGUUCUAAUUUUUCUGUGAUCUUAUCCAUAAACAGUGGAACACCAACCCCACUAGCAAGGUAACUAAGCCCAGCUGAAGACUAAUAAGAGAUGAGGAUGUUAUGGAAUUUAACCCAGACAGGAGCUUUUGCACAAGAGUCAAAAUGAAAGUCCAUACCUUUUUUUUUCUAAUUGGUUUGUAUAAAAAGAACACAAGAAAUACAAUGGCAGAGGGGCAUACCCAGUCUAUAGUUAGUUCAUUUAUUGACAGGUCAAUAGAGGAAAAUACUAUAAGAGCAGAGACAUGCUAAUUACAGUGGCAGUGGCAACACAAUCAGUUACAAUAGCCAGGUAUAAAAAUAUUGACAGAAGUUUGUAGCCUUUAAAAAAGAAUUACACGUUGAUAGUCUAGACUUUAUAAUAUUUAUAACAUCCUUUGCCAGAGCUUGUGGGGGAAUAAUGGUGUUCCUGUGUAUCUUAGCAUUGUGUGCCUCCAAAAUUUUGUAGAAAGAAACUGCAAGAGUUAGGCACAGAAUGUUUAUGGACAUCGUUGUUCCUUGGAAGGAAGAUAUGUAGUCCAAGAUAUCAGCCCUAUUGUUAGAGAUACUAUUCUACUAGCCCAAAUCCAUAGCACUACAAAAAAUAAAUCUAGAGUACUCAUAAAAAAAGAACAGAUGUUCAAAGGAUUCAUUGUGGGUUUGACAAAGCUGACAUAACAACCUGCUGCCCGUAUAAAGGAUCGUUCUAUCAUUAGUGGGAAGUCUCUUUAAAAUACCAAGCCAAAGGAUAAAAGAGUACCUAGGAACAUGAAAUUUAUUCCAAGGAAUAAAUCCCCAGGAAACAGGUUGCUUCCUUGCUUGGAUGGAAUCCCAAAUGUGCUUUGCUUUGAUACUGGAGAUGUCGAAUGAGUCCCAAAGGAGACAGUCAGCAGAAGAGGAAGGAGUUGGAAGGGCUUCAAUCGUUCAUCUAAAAAGGAUGACCUCAUGAUGGUUGCUGCGAGGGAGGGUCCAAGAAUUAGCUUGAAUGAUGUAACUGCCUUUAGCAGUGGGUGGUAAGCCAAUAUUCUGAAGCAGAAUGGGACUGGGGUUGAUAGUCGUCCCGUGCACCCAUGGAUUAAACCAGAGAUUUAUUAUAUCACCCCUUCCAACAUGAUAAACGAUAUGUUCUAGAGCCAAGGGCCGUAGUUUUAGUACCUGCCGCUAUAUCCAAGAACAGUUCAGAGGUAUAGGAAUUUACCAAAUUGAUCUAUCCCUGAGGAUGGUCACUUUGGCUCAAGCUGCCCAAAGGGAGGAAGGUUGGAAUUGAAUAAGUUUCACCAAGUGCAGCAAGAUGAGAGACCCGUUCCAAUCUAGGAUGCUCUUAAGGCCCAACCCUCCUUCAAAGGUAGGGAGGAACAUAUCAGACCAAGCAACUUUGGCCCCAUGUUUUACAAGCAAGGAACCCUUCCAUGAAGUCCAAGAAGAGACACGUUGGGUUACUUUGUGAAUUAAGGGGAUGUAGUCAUUGAAAGAAAGUUUAGAGGAUAUCAAGGGUACACCCAUAAACUUGGUAGGCAGGAGGCCAGGUUGGAAUCCCAGAAUAGAGUGGAUGCGAGAAGAGGUAGUAGGGUCAGUAUUAGCCAGAAAGUAAUGGCUUUUUUGGACAUUAGGGAUCAACCCAGAGAAAAGCGAGAAGGAUUGAAUACAAGAGGAAAUGAUUGAGAUAGAAGGUAUGCAAGCAUGAGAGAAAAUGAGGAUAUCAUCAGCGAAAAUGAGGUGUGUUAGCUUAAACUCGUUUAUUCUCCAAUGAAAUUUGAAAUUGGGUUCCAUAGAGAUCAAAGAUAAUUUAAGGGACAUCAUUUCCAUGAUGAGAACAAAGAGAUAAAGGGAGAGAGGGUCUCCUUGUCUGAGUUCAUGAGAACUGGGAAAAUAACCAGCUAAAGACCCAUUGAUUUUGAUAGAGAACAUGGGAGCAGAAACACAGGCUUUUAUCCAAGCCAUAAAAAGAGGAUGGAAUUUGAAGAGGGAAAGGAUAUCAAAUAAAAAGUCCCACCUGACAGUGUCGAAUGCCUUCCUUAAGUCAAUUUUUUGAGCACAUCUUAAAGGACCAGAGGGGCGAUGAUAAUUCCUUAGCAAGUCCUGAGCAAUAAGAAUAUUAUCACUAAUACUACGACCCUUGAUGAAGGCAGACUGAGCUUUGUCAUUGAGAGAGGGAAGAACUACUUUGAGUCGAUUUGCUAGGAUCUUGGUAAUACAUUUGUAAAUGGUAUUACAGCAGGAAAUAGGUUUAAAAUUAGCCAUGGAGGAAGGAUUUGUAGAUUUAGGGAUCAGGGCUAAAGCUGUGGAGUUUAUCCCCUUAGGCAUCUUACAAGAGGAGAAGAAGAAUUGAACAGCCUUAGUGAAGUCCUCGCCCACAAUAUCCCAGCAAGAGAUGAAGAAGCUCACAUUAAAAAAUCACCCCCCUAGCUUUUAUUUCUUUUCAUGGAGUGUAACUAAAUGGAUUUUUUUUCUUUCAUUGCNNNNNNNNNNNNNNNNNNNNNNNNNNNNNNNNNNNNNNNNNNNNNNNNNNNNNNNNNNNNNNNNNNNNNNNNNNNNNNNNNNNNNNNNNNNNNNNNNNNNAUUUUACUAAUACAAGUAAAUAUAUCCUAAUAUUAUCUACUAAACAAACUAAUUACAUUGAAAUCACCCAUAAAUAAUAAAUAUAUAAUAAUAACCUAAUGUUAUUAAAUUUCUUUUGCUUCCAUCCUCAUCAAAACCUUUGCAAGUUUGAUAAGAAGCACUUUAUGGACAUGUAUGGGCUUCACUUGAGAUUGCCAUUUUGAGCAACUUGAUGUAAAUUAGUUUAGUGUGUUUUCUUUGUUCCCUUCUGACUGUAUUUUUGUCUUUAGUUACAUUUUAUUUCCAAUCUAAGGGCUAUAGUAUGCACCCAUGACACUUUUGCUUUUCUUUUACCUUGUGACUUAAUUACCUUGUUCUAUUUCUGACUUUCAUUUUUCUCUUUCCAUAAUAUGAUUUCUAAAGCUUACAUUAAAAACUAUUGUAGUUGUAAGAUUUCUUUUUUCCUGGUUUUGUUGCAGAAUUCAUGCAUUCUUGUAGUUCAUGUUGAUCUUCUAUUUUCUACCAUCAAGUAUGAUCCUAAUGGUUUGGUGGAUUAAUAUCUGUGGUGUAACUAAAUGGACUAUUUUUUUUCUUUCAUUGCUUGUACCCAUUUUACCCUUUAUAUAUUUUUUUCUCCUUAACUUUGCCGUGCUGAUCAAGAUAUUAGUAGAUUCAUCAACAAGAGAACUAUUUCGGGGGAAAAAGAAAGUGCCUGUAUUGGUGUUGCAACUUCGAACUGUUGAAGCAUAUAACUAAGUUUUCGAAGGUUUUGGAGUUUAAAAUCAGGGAGAACAGAAAAGAAGAGAAAAUGAACUUAGUACUUGCUUUGGAGUUUUUUUAGGAGAGAAAAGAAAGAAAGUUAGAGAAAAAAUGCCCUUUUUUUCUUCCCAAAGUUCUCUUCUCAAAAUUGAGAAGAUUUGAAGAGAAGAGAAAACUUGGUUUAGUAAUAACUUCAUAAUACCAGUUUUACCCUUCAAUUUAUAAUUGUACUAAAUUUAUUUCCACUCAUAUCCUCUUUAGGGUUAAUUAUAACUCAUUAACAUCAGACACAUAUCUCAAGCCUCUUCUUCAUCGAAAAUCUCUCACCUGGCAGUUGCUUGUUGUGGCAUCUACAACUCUCUAUUGUUAUGUUGGCGUCGCAGAUAAAUACAGCCAUUGACGCCUAUUUCUUUUUUUUUAAUUGGUCUCUCUGCUCCUUCAAAUUAUCUUUGAUCUCCCUCUUUAAAACCUGAUUUCCCUCCUGAUAUACUUUUACUACUAACUCAUAUAUUCAAUUUAUGUUCUUCAAUCAAAAGUUUAUUCCAGUUCUGUUUAUUAUGAUAUGAUUAGUUUAUAUAAUUGCUUCUCAUCUUAGGAAUCUUCUUGUUAUAGAAAGUUAUUUGGUCAAAUACAUUUCCUUUUACUUUAUAUGGUACAUAUAUUUUCAUUCGGGGAUUGUCUAUAGAAUAUAGGUGAAUCUGUGAUUUUGUCUAUAUUAUGAUUUUUUUUUCUAUAUUCAUGUAUGAGCAGUCAAUUUCCUUGAUAAAUCUUAACUAUGUGCAUCAUUCGGAAGAAAUUAGUUUAUAUUAAUAUAUUGUAUUCUUAACCAUCACAAUCGAAUACACAGUUGAGUCAUGCUCUUUCAAAGGUUUUUCAAUUUCAUUUUAGUAAUAUGAACAAUGGUCUUGUUGAAUUUUUUUUUUAAAACAUAUCUUCAUUAUAUUAAAAACUAAAAAGACUUGAAAGUCCAUACCUUCCUUCCAUUGUUUGAGACAUAUCUGUUUAUUUGAUAUAUACCAAGGGCCAAGAGCAAGCACAUUCUCACGGUCCUCAGGCUUAGCGAAUUUGAAGACAAAAAUCCCACCCUCUUGCAGGAACACACUUUGCAGGCCAUAUUUAUCCCAUAAUUUAUGUAUAUUAUCUCAAGUUUAAACGGCAGUUUGGAGUGCAAAAAAGUCGUCCAUCAGACAAGUGUUCCACAGAUUAUUACCUUGAAGAAGAAUCUCAGAUAGAGGUCGAAUCAGGAUGGACCCACUAUCCGUGCUAGGUGGAGAGAGAGGAAAGAAAUCAAGCUUCAGUGAGGGAGCAGCCUGGGCCACUACCUUGCUCCAUGUUUUCUCUAUUGGGAUGCACGCAGUCCAAGAAGAUCAGGGCAGUACAGCCAGACCCAGUGGUGACCCAAAAAUUUGCAGGGCCCUACAUUCCCCUUCUUCAAAAACAGACUCAACACCUGCCAAAAUCGGUUGUUGAACGGCUCCACUCUGAGCCAAAGCCGAAAAAGACGACUCUGCCAAAGAUGGUUUCAGUGGACUUUUAUCAAACAGGUCAUGGUCAUUAACUGAACGAACAGAUUUCCCUUUGUUGGAGAAUUCAUUCACAUUGUGCAUAGAAAACCCUUUAGCUUUGAUAAAAUCCAUAAGCAAGGAGCAUUUCCUACACUCAUCAGCCGCAUCAAUAUUACCCUGCUGCGAAAGAGCCUGUGUAGCUCUAAAAAUUUCCUUCAUGGAGAUACCAUCUUGUAAACCUAGGCUGACAUCAGCAAGGCUAUUAGCUUCAGAAGCUUAAAAGCUAUCAGACACGAUAACAACAACAGUUGGAACCAAAGAGGAUUCAACCAUUGUAGAAUCGCCAAUGACCGACGAGUUAGGGCAUGAAACCCCAAACUCAGAAAACAUAUCCCGUACACUACUAAUGGAAUUACCAGCCAAAAGGUGAGAGAAACUCACCAUGGUGAAGGAGAAAGAAAGAAGGAAGACAAUUGAUAUGGAGACUUUCUCGUAG
rnacentral:lncRNA from 1 species